ensembl:lncRNA
UGUGCUCCACCUCUUAAGAAAUUGGCAGGACACUUCAGAAUGAAAGUUUCAGCUUAGAAUUAGUCCUUAGAAAUACAGGCACAGGUGUGAGAAAGAGCAGGAGUGAUAAGGCACCUGGCUCCUCCUCCUCUCUCUCAGACUGUACUACAUCUAAAACAUGGUGGAAGCAGGAAAGACAUCACAAGAAUGGUGCCUUCACUUUUCAUCCAACAAAUACCACCUAACUCCCCGUGUCUGUGGGCUCAGAGGCAGUCAAGUACAGAGUUUCCAAAUGAUGACAGCAGUCCAUCCCUGCCGUGAUCUUCUACUGCUUGUUUUUCUCCACUUAUCUGAACACAGAUGGAAAAAGAAACAGCUAGCCGUCCUUCCCACACAACAAGCAACAGACAAAAGACAGCAUGCCCUUUAGCAAGGUGCUGAAUGGAGCUUGUGAAAUCAGCAAAACAAAUUACUUUAACGAUACUACUUACAUGAGUAAUGCAGAUGAGCUUCUUCCCCGGAGUCAUUUGUAUCUAUUUAAGACAGUAAGUAUUGCUGAAUAAUGACAGAAACACUAUGUAUAUUUUUAAAGGAAAUCAGUACGAAAAGAAAAUCUACAGAUUUAUCACUUCUCCCUGAGACAAUGCCUGGAGCUGUGCUUGGUUUAAUUAUUUUUAGGGACGUGAUCAAUCAACGUAGCAACCGCGGCACAGUAUAUCCAAUACACUGAAAAUCUAAGCAACUAUCAAGCAAGUACAUGCUGUAAAGUGUCUGUUAAAUACCGAUUAGCGCUGUGAAGCUGGAGAUCCAGAAGCUGCUACAGCAGCUUGUCAGAGGCAGCUGCAGACCCUUGCAGUGCCUAUAUACCAUUUUUUCCCCCCCUAAAUACUGCAGUCAAAACAGUUUGAUGUCAAAUCAUUUGUCAUCUAUCUUUAUGCUUCUGCUGAACGAAGGCUAAAGCAGAGGGUAUUGGCAUACAGAAGCAUUUUAUAACUAUGGAAUCAGUAAUUGUUUAAUCGUGUGAAAGCAAAAGCAAAGAGUGGACUGGGAGCUGUGAGCAUGGGGCAUUUGGUGUGUCUGUGAGAUGGGUCCUGGUGGGAAAAAAAGGCCAUCUUCUGCUCAUUAAAGUAUUACCCAUUUCAAUGCAGAAUUAAUCUCCCUCUUACUUUUGUCGAAAGGAUUUAUGUGUUUGUACUGUCCAUGAACCGAUAAGACACAGCCACACACAGCUUGCCUGCUAAGCAAAGCAGGAAACAACAACAACAAAAACCCCGAAAAAAGAUAUUUUCCUGUCAUAACCUUUCCUUCCUUCUUUCUUUCUUUCUUUCUUUCCUUCCUUCCUUCCUUCAUUCCUUCCUUCCUUCCUUCUUUCUUUCCUUCCUUCCUUCCUUCCUUCCUGCCUUCCUGCCUUCCUUCCUGCCUUCCUUUUCAUCCUUCUUUUCCUUCCUUUCCUUCCUUAGUUAUGGAUAGCUUUUCACACACCUGUAUGCGUGCAACAACCAAAGUGCCCAGGAACAGCAGGAACAUCGCAUAUUCUGCAAUUGUUCCUCACAAGGCAUACAGACAAAGAGAAAAAAAAGAUGUUAACCUCCCCCAACAAACAUAGCUGAAAACUUUUCUUCGGGGGAAAAGGGAAAAAAAGCUUGUUGCAUUCCCCCCCCCCCA